rnacentral:rRNA from 1 species
CAGCCGCCGCGGGAAUACGAAGGGUGCAAGCGUUACUCGGAAUUACUGGGCGUAAAGCGUGCGUGGGUGGUGGUUUAAGUCCGUUGUGAAAGCCCUGGGCUCAACCUGGGAAUUGCAGUGGAUACUGGGUCACUAGAGUGUGGUAGAGGAUAGUGGAAUUUCCGGUGUAGCAGUGAAAUGCGUAGAGAUCGGAAGGAACAUCUGUGGCGAAGGCGACUAUCUGGGCCAACACUGACACUGAGGCAUGAAAGCGUGGGGAGCAAACAGGAUUAGAUACCCCCGAGUCCCUGUCUCUUAUACA